rnacentral:RNase_P_RNA from 1 species
GGGUGAAACGGUGCGGUAAGAGCGCACCAGCAUCCCGGGUGACCGGGAUGGCUCGGUAAACCCCACCCGAAGCAAGGCCAAGAAGGCCGCACCGCGGUGCGGCUGCGCAGGUGCUUGAGGGCUGCUCGCCCGAGCCUGCGGGUAGGCCGCUGGAGGCACUCGGCGACGGGUGUCGCAGAUGGAUGGUCGCCGCCGCUGCGUCGUGGUCAACCGCGACGCAGCGGAACAGAAUCCGGCUUAUAGGCCAACUCGUUCG